UACGGGGGGAGCAAGCGUUGUUCGGAUUUACUGGGCGUAAAGGGCGGGUAGGCGGCCACCGCAAGUCAGUUGUGAAAUCUCUGGGCUUAACCCAGAAAGGUCAACUGAUACUGCGGGGCUAGAGUGCAGAAGGGGCAACUGGAAUUCUCGGUGUAGCGGUGAAAUGCGUAGAGAUCGGCAGGAACACCCAGGGGGAAACCAGCCGACUGGGCAUCUACUGACGCUGAGGUGCGAGAGCGUGGGGAGCGAACCGG
rnacentral:rRNA from 1 species